UACGAAGGGGACUAGCGUUGUUCGGAUUUACUGGGCGUAAAGCGCGCGUAGGCGGAUCGCUAAGUCAGGGGUGAAAUCCCAGGGCUCAACCCUGGAACUGCCUUUGAUACUGACGAUCUGGAGAUCGGGAGAGGUUGGUGGAAUUCCGAGUGUAGAGGUGAAAUUCGUAGAUAUUCGGAGGAACACCAGAAGCGAAGGCGGCCAACUGGCCCGAUACUGACGCUGAGGCGCGAAGGCGUGGGGAGCAAACAGG
rnacentral:rRNA from 1 species